CAUGCAUGUCGUAGGGUAUAAAUAGUAUACAGUGAAACUGCGAAUGGCUCAUUAAAACAGUUAUAGUUUAUUUGAUAAUCGAAAGCUACAUGGAUAACCGUGGUAAUUCUAGAGCUAAUACAUGCACUCAGACCCGACCUUCGAGAGGGUUGUAUUUAUUAGAUAUCAAGCCAAUACUCCUUCGGGUUUAUUGUAGGUGAAUCAUAGUAACUGAUCGAAUCCCUCAGGGAUAAAUCAUUCAAGUUUCUGCCUAUCAGCUUUCGAUGGUAGUGUAUUGGACUACCAUGGCAGUCACGGGUAACGGGGAAUUAGGGUUCGAUUCCGGAGAGGGAGCCUGAGAAACGGCUACCACUUCUAAGGAAGGCAGCAGGCGCGUAAAUUACCCAAUCCCAAUUCGGGGGGUAGUGACAAGAAAAUAACAACCUGGGGGGCUCUGCCCUUACGGAUUGUAAUGGGGAACAAUGUAAAAACUUUAUCGAGGAACAAUUGCCGAGGCAAGUCUGGUGCCAGCAGCCCGCGGUAAUUCCAGCUCCAAUAGGCGUAUAUUAAAGUUUUGCAGUUAAAAGCCCGUAGGUUGAAUUUCUGCACGCUGCCCGGUUGUGCUUGCGGUCAGCGCGGCGCGCGUGCAUCCGUCUGCCAAGACCGUAGACCGGCCUUCAUUGGUCGACUAGGGGAGUAGUAGACCUUUUACCUUGAAAAAAUUAGAGUGUUUCUAGCAGGCCAAUUGCUUGAAUACAUUAGCAUGGAAUAAUAGAAUAGGACUUUUGUCCAUUUCGUUGGUUAUUGACAUUAGUAAUGAUUAAAAGGGACAGUUGGGGCAUUAGUAUUUAAUUGUCAGAGGUGAAAUUCUUGGAUGUUUAUUAAGACUAACUUAUGCGAAAGCAUUUGCCAAGGAUGUUUCAUUAAUCAAGGAACGAAAGUUAGGGGAUCAAAGACGAUUAGACACCGCCGUAGUCUUAACUAUAAACUAUACGACUCGCGAAUCGGGCAGUCAUACAACUUGCUCCGCGCCGUAUGAGAAAUCAAAGUCUUUGGUUCUGGGGGAGUAUGGUCGCAAGGCUGAAACUUAAAGAAUGACGAAG
rnacentral:rRNA from 1 species